CCAAAGUGCCAGUGCCCAAAUUGCUUCGCAUUUAGAAAUCUUAGGCAAGACAAAGUGAAAGGAUCUAAGCAAAACCAAAACUUACAUAAAUUGAGCAGAAGGCUAAAUUUGGCAACCAAAAAUGGCAGGUCUCCUCAAGAAUGCAUCUGUUCUCAGAACACUGUAUCAUGCUGACUUCUUCAAAGCACAAUAAUAUUAUUGAUUUCCUCUAUGCUUGCAGAUGUGCUCCUUCCUUCACAUCACAACAUGUACAUUCCUACCAGAUAGGUGCCAUAGUAGGGGAACUUAAACCAUACAACCCCCUCAGAAGAUUCACUGGCAGUGUGUUGUGAGGUAAUCUCAGGACGUUUUGCAAGGGUGAAAUGCUCUACGUGUUGUGGGACAUCGGGAAGUCUGAACAGAGCCUGGCACUCACAGGGGGCUGCCCCGAGCACUCUCCGGUUCCCCCCACUUUGGCUGGAGCAGAGCCUUGGAGGCAUCCAUCCAUACUGCUCGAACAGCCUUCAGGUUUUGCUGUUAUUUUAGAACAGGUGGGAGGUGAUGGAUUCCCCCAGACAGUUCUCCUUUCUGAGUGUCAUGUCUUCACACAAACACGCACUAUCAGCCCUCCAGCCUGGGGUGCCUGA
rnacentral:lncRNA from 1 species